AAUGAACGCUGGCGGCAGGCCUAAAACAUGCAAGUCGAACGCCCUAGCAAUAGGGAGUGGCGCACGGGUGAGUAACAUGUGGGAAUAUGCCUUUUGGUACGGAACAACGUUUGGAAACGAACGCUAAUACCGUAUGGUCCCUCCGGGGUAAAGAUUUAUCGCCAAAAGAUUAGCCCGCACUAGAUUAGCUAGUUGGUAAGGUAAUGGCUUACCAAGGCGACGAUCUAUAGCUGUUCUGAGAGGAAGAUCAGCCACACUGGGACUGAGACACGGCCCAGACUCCUACGGGAGGCAGCAGUUAGGAAUAUUGGACAAUGGGCGCAAGCCUGAUCCAGCCAUGCCGCGUGAGUGAUGAAGGCCUUCGGGUUGUAAAGCUCUUUAGCCGACGAAUAUAAUGACUGUAGUCGGAGAAUAUGCCCCGGCUAACUUCGUGCCAGCCGCCGCAGUAA
rnacentral:rRNA from 1 species